rnacentral:rRNA from 1 species
ACCCGAUGCAAACUGCGAAUACCGGAGAAUGUUAUCACGGGAGACACACGGCGGGUGCUAACGUCCGUCGUGAAGAGGGAAACAACCCAGACCGCCAGCUAAGGUCCCAAAGUCAUGGUUAAGUGGGAAACGAUGUGGGAAGGCCCAGACAGCCAGGAUGUUGGCUUAGAAGCAGCCAUCAUUUAAAGAAAGCGUAAUAGCUCACUGGUCGAGUCGGCCUGCGCGGAAGAUGUAACGGGGCUAAACCAUGCACCGAAGCUGCGGCAGCGACGCUUAUGCGUUGUUGGGUAGGGGAGCGUUCUGUAAGCCUGCGAAGGUGUGCUGUGAGGCAUGCUGGAGGUAUCAGAAGUGCGAAUGCUGACAUAAGUAACGAUAAAGCGGGUGAAAAGCCCGCUCGCCGGAAGACCAAGGGUUCCUGUCCAACGUUAAUCGGGGCAGGGUGAGUCGACCCCUAAGGCGAGGCCGAAAGGCGUAGUCGAUGGGAAACAGGUUAAUAUUCCUGUACUUGGUGUUACUGCGAAGGGGGGACGGAGAAGGCUAUGUUGGCCGGGCGACGGUUGUCCCGGUUUAAGCGUGUAGGCUGGUUUUCCAGGCAAAUCCGGAAAAUCAAGGCUGAGGCGUGAUGACGAGGCACUACGGUGCUGAAGCAACAAAUGCCCUGCUUCCAGGAAAAGCCUCUAAGCAUCAGGUAACAUCAAAUCGUACCCCAAACCGACACAGGUGGUCAGGUAGAGAAUACCAAGGCGCUUGAGAGAACUCGGGUGAAGGAACUAGGCAAAAUGGUGCCGUAACUUCGGGAGAAGGCACGCUGAUAUGUAGGUGAAGUCCCUUGCGGAUGGAGCUGAAAUCAGUCGAAGAUACCAGCUGGCUGCAACUGUUUAUUAAAAACACAGCACUGUGCAAACACGAAAGUGGACGUAUACGGUGUGACGCCUGCCCGGUGCCGGAAGGUUAAUUGAUGGGGUCAGCGCAAGCGAAGCUCUUGAUCGAAGCCCCGGUAAACGGCGGCCGUAACUAUAACGGUCCUAAGGUAGCGAAAUUCCUUGUCGGGUAAGUUCCGACCUGCACGAAUGGCGUAAUGAUGGCCAGGCUGUCUCCACCCGAGACUCAGUGAAAUUGAACUCGCUGUGAAGAUGCAGUGUACCCGCGGCAAGACGGAAAGACCCCGUGAACCUUUACUAUAGCUUGACACUGAACAUUGAGCCUUGAUGUGUAGGAUAGGUGGGAGGCUUUGAAGUGUGGACGCCAGUCUGCAUGGAGCCGGCCUUGAAAUACCACCCUUUAAUGUUUGAUGUUCUAACGUGGACCCGUGAUCCGGGUUGCGGACAGUGUCUGGUGGGUAGUUUGACUGGGGCGGUCUCCUCCUAAAGAGUAACGGAGGAGCACGAAGGUUGGCUAAUCCUGGUCGGACAUCAGGAGGUUAGUGCAAUGGCAUAAGCCAGCUUGACUGCGAGCGUGACGGCGCGAGCAGGUGCGAAAGCAGGUCAUAGUGAUCCGGUGGUUCUGAAUGGAAGGGCCAUCGCUCA